rnacentral:tRNA from 2 species
ACCUGGCUGGCUCAGUUGGUAGAGCGUGCAAUUCUCAAUCUUAGGGUCAUGAGUUCAAGCCUCAUGCUGGGGA